rnacentral:rRNA from 1 species
GACGAACGCUGGCGGCGUGCUUAACACAUGCAAGUCGAACGGAAAGGCCCUGCUUUUGUGGGGUGCUCGAGUGGCGAACGGGUGAGUAACACGUGAGUAACCUGCCCUUGACUUUGGGAUAACUUCAGGAAACUGGGGCUAAUACCGGAUAGGAGCUCCUGCUGCAUGGUGGGGGUUGGAAAGUUUCGGCGGUUGGGGAUGGACUCGCGGCUUAUCAGCUUGUUGGUGGGGUAGUGGCUUACCAAGGCUUUGACGGGUAGCCGGCCUGAGAGGGUGACCGGCCACAUUGGGACUGAGAUGCGGCACAGACUCCUACGGGAGGCAGCAGUGGGGAAUAUUACACAAUGGGCGGAAGCCUGAUGCAGCAACGCCGCGUGCGGGAUGACGGCCUUCGGGUUGUAAACCGCUUUCGCCUGUGACGAAGCGUGAGUGACGGUAAUGGGUAAAGAAGCACCGGCUAACUACGUG